AAUUCCCAAUACUAUCGAUACGGGUUGUGGGAGCAAGAUCCCGGAGAUGGAUUCUGAGACAUGAAUCCAGGCCCUACGGGGCGCAGCAGGCGCGCAAACUUUACAAUGCGAGCAAUCGUGAUAAGGAAACCCUGAGUGCCUGUCGAUGCAGGCUGUUCAUAUAUCUAAAUCAUAUGUGAAGAAAGGGCAGGGCAAGACCGGUGCCAGCCGCCGCGGUAAUACCGGCUGCUCGAGUGAUGGCCACUAUUACUGGGUUUAAAGCGUCCGUAGCUUGACUGUUAGGUCUCUUGGGAAAUCUUCGCGCUCAACGUGAAGGCGUCUAAGAGAUACCGGCAGUCUUGGAACUGGGAGAGGUAAACCGUACUUCGGGGGUAGGAGUGAAAUCUUGUAAUCCUCGAGGGACGACCUAUGGCGAAGGCAGUUUACCAGAACAGCUUCGACAGUGAGGG
rnacentral:rRNA from 1 species